UGGGAUGACGUCAAGUCCUCAUGGCCUUUAUGCUUAGGGCUACACACGUGCUACAAUGGGUGGUACAAAGAGAAGCCAACUCGCGAGAGCGCGCCAAUCUCAAAAAGCCAUCCUCAGUUCGGAUUGGAGUCUGCAACUCGGCUCCAUGAAGUUGGAAUCGCUAGUAAUCGCGGAAAAAUCAGCACGCCGCGGUCGAAUACGUUCCCGGGCCUU
rnacentral:rRNA from 1 species